ensembl:ncRNA asRNA:CR43885 antisense RNA:CR43885
AAAGGUCAGCACGUGGGCAGCCGAACGGCGGCUCUUCGUUCUCCCACCAAGAACACUGCGAGGACCGCUUUUUAAUCUUCCGCAUCAUAUCCUGCUCCUCGGUCAGCAUGGCCACAAUGACCUCGGCAUUUCCCUUCAAAGACUCGGAUGAUUCACUGCAGGCCGGAUCACGCCCAAACUCCUUCUCUACCAACCCCAAUACACAUCCAGUGAUCGCGUCAACAUUUUUUGAUUUAUCCUCCUUCGCAGAUCCCUUCGGGACAUCCUUUUCUCCCAAUUUAUCCUGUGAAUUGUAACUAUCUUUAAGCUCCUCCUGGGCGCAGGGAUCUUUAUCUAUAACCAAUUCCUCCAGUAAACUAUGACUUUUAUUCAAUUCAUUCGGGUUGUACGAGCAUUCUUCCAAGUUUUCUGGUGAACUUUUAUCAUUGUUUAAAUGCUCCUGUUGGC